CACGCUGUAAACGAUGAUGAUUAGGUGCUAGGGAGUAUCGACCCUCCUUAGUACCAUAGCUAACGCGUUAAAUCAUCCGCCUGGGNCGGUAAGCGAGGAACCUUACCAAGUCUUGACAUGUACCUGCAUACAUUGGAAACAGUGUAGCCUUCGAGGGUGGUACACAGGUGC
rnacentral:rRNA from 1 species